AUCGCUUCUCGGCUCUUUUGAGCUAAGAUCAAGUGUAGUAUCUGUUCUUCUCAGUUUAAUACCUGGGACGGAAACGAUUC
rnacentral:snRNA from 1 species